UAAAAUUGUGUCCUCUCCCAAAGAGGAUUACAUGGAGUAUAUAUAGGAAUUACAAGGGCAAAUGGUACAAUGGUCUUCUCACAUUUCUCACGUACUCUGCAUGUACUAACAUUGGCGGCGGUCACUAUCUAAAAAGUAACUCAAUCCUAACUAACUUGCAGCUUUAUGAUCAAAGUGUCGCAGGUUGAUGCUGCGCCGGUCGGAACCUCGAAUGUCUGCGCAGGCAUCCUCAGCCUUUUGUUUUAUCCAACCAUCUCUGGUGAUCUUGAAAGGUAGCUCGCCUCUUUAGCUGUCUCUCAAUAUGACUGCACUGAUGACACUGGCUGCGCAGACUUCGCUCGCCUCUCCAGUGGUCCUUCAAUGUGGCUGCGCUGGUGAUCCUAGCUGUGCGGACUCGUUUCUUCCAAUACUGGUCUCUAAGGUUAGCUUGU
rnacentral:lncRNA from 1 species